GCACAUUGCCCCAAUAUGGCGACUAAAUAUUACUAUAAACUAUACAGGGAUUUACAAAAAUGUCAAAUUUUAACCUACUUUGUUUAGAUAUCUCAUGGUUGCGGACUUCGAUAAUAACAACAGCACGAACAAGCAGUAUUUGUAAACCAAAAUCGCUAGCAUUUCUACACGUCUAAGUGGUUCCCGUGAUCGGUGUAUUUUCACUAGAAAUUCGAAGUAUUUGAUAGUGUAAUCUAUAGUAAUCUUGCCAUACAUGAGGUAAAACUCCGCCGAAUAGACCAACAUUCUUUCGCGCGAUGUAAACUGCGGACUUCGCGAUGUAUUUAGCGAUGUUCAAACUGUCAGUAUAGCUUAACAUAUCCCAGGUUAUUCUGCGCCAAACCGGUUCCAAAAUCGUUUAAAACUUUGCCUUUUUAUGAGUCUUGCUUAUCGCCAUUAGGUUAUAUUUAUAGUCGAAAACGAGAAGUCUAAAUACAAAUUUAGGCUCCUUCGAGCAGCCAUGUUUCUUGUUUACUAGCAAAGCUUGUACCCAGUCCCUCACUUAAGAAAAACAGAGAGAUUUGCGAGAUUUUGUAGCUCGAUUUCGUGUUGAUAUAGCAAUUUGCGUGCGGAUAUUUCGCGGGUUAUUUAAAAUCUCUUUCGCGGUUAAGUCAAAAUGUCGGAAGUGCUCGAAGAAUACAGCAAAAGAAAGUUAGAUUGGAAAUUGAAAGUAAGUUCUGAAGCUCCUCUUACUUAUGUUAGGCAACAAGUGGACUUAUUUAACAAGAUUCUCUUUUGUGUGGAGAUUCCAUGGCCACUGCUUAAUGUAUGGAAAAAUAUUCGCGAAACAACUUCCUG